rnacentral:rRNA from 1 species
UACGUAGGGGGCGAGCGUUGUCCGGAAUCAUUGGGCGUAAAGCGCGUGUAGGCGGCUUGAUAAGUCUGGUGUGAAACCUUGGGGCUCAACCCCAAGCCUGCACUGGAUACUGUCAAGCUUGAGUCCGGGAGGGGAGAGCGGAAUUCCUAGUGUAGCGGUGAAAUGCGCAGAUAUUAGGAAGAACACCGGUGGCGAAGGCGGCUCUCUGGAACGGUACUGACGCUGAGACGCGAAAGCGUGGGGAGCGAACAGG